rnacentral:lncRNA from 1 species
UGCAAGGUUGCCGCCAUUUUACACUCGUUCUGGACAAAGAAAGAUGGCGUUUUGGGCCUUGUUUCAAAUACUAAAUAGAUGUCUAUGUGAGGUUUAAAGUUGAAAAGUCAAAAGAUAGUGUAUACCAAGACAAGAAAUGAAGCUAAGAUAGAGUCAGACAUAGUACAGGUCAUGUAACAGAUGGCGUGGACAGAAUGUUGUUAUGGUGGCUUUGUUCAGUUACAUAUUGUGACAAAGAUGGUAAAGCAGUGGCAGACAGAGUUGUGUGACAUUGUGUAUGUUUCGUUUGUUAGAGCCCAUGCACAGACAGAAGAAAAGCCA